AUUAUAACAUCUUUUGCAAGGACAUCUAAACUUAUCAGGACCAACACAAUUUGCAACUGCUUGAUCCAAAAACAAAUUAAUUCCAGCUGUCUACGCUUCCAAAUUUCAGGCUAUCAUGAACCAACUCUUGUCCAUGUUUUACCACUUUACGAGGGCAAAAUAUUAUGUUGUCACUAAGACGCCUACAAGCUUUCAAUCCCUAUCAUGUAGGCAUAACUAUUAGAAUUUUCAAUUUCUAUUUUCAACCCUCGAACUCUACCACGAUUGCAAUCUUUUAAUUUUCAACACCUAUUAUAGUAAAAACAAAUUCAAAUAACAACAAAAAGUUAUCAAAAUUAUACUCAUCUAAUCCAUUCUAGUAAAUAACAACCAAAGGUUAUCAAAGUUAUCAAAAUAACAACAAAAACAAAUUAAAAUAACAACAAAUUAAAAUAACAAUUAGAGUGCAAAACAAAUUAAUUUAACAUAAUAUAUUCUUAUAUUACUAAAUAUUAUAAGUUCAUGUUAUAUUUAAUAUUGUUAAUUUAACAGAAAUGCUUAUAAAUAUUAUUCAUUUCCAUUUUCUCAUAACAAUUCAAGUGACAAAAUUAAUUAAUUUGACUAAAUAUUUAUUAAUUUAACAAAAAAUAGUAGAAAUUUAUCCAAGUACUUAAAUUAGAAUUUUUAAAUAAAUAAACUAGUGUAUCAUACAAUUUAAAAAUUAAAGAAUUUAGUGAUAAAAACUUGAAUAAUAGAAGAAUUCCGUCGUCGAUCAAUUCUUUAUGUACUCAACCAACUCAAAUAAAUUCCCUACAAAAAUAAAUUGUAAAUAAAAAUUAAACAUAAGAGGAGAAAAUAAAAAUAUUACAAGUAAGAAAAACUUAUUGCUGUGAAGAAGGAACAAAUGAAGUUGGAAGAACAGAUAAGAAAGGUGCAAGAGAGAACACAUGGGGAUGGUUUGUAAAUUGGAAGAACGAAUAAGAAAAAUGUAAGAGAGGAAGAAGAAAACACGGGGGAGAGUAUAUAAAGACCAUCAAUCUGUCGCUUACAAUUGACACUAGUUUCAAAAUGUUUAAAAAACUAAAAUCUAUGUCCCUCAGAACCGAUGCAGGUUUUAAAAUAUUUAAAAACAAUAAUUAGUGUCGGCUAGAAGCGAUACCCAUAUUUUAUGUCGCUUAAAAGGGACACUGUUUUAUUUAAAGUGACAAUGCUUUAUUUAAAGCGACACUAGUAUUUAAAAAUUAUUAAAAUGUAUGUCGGUUUUAAGCGACAUUAAAUGUUUACGUCGGUUUAAAAGCGACAUUAAAUGUUUAUGACGUUUAUAAGCGACAGUAAAUCCAACGUUAUGUUCAAUAAGUGUCAUAACUGUCUAGUCCGCCACUAUAUUAUAUUAAACCGACACCACCUACUGACACUAUAAGGCCCUUUUGUAGUAGUGUAAAUGGUGUGUGAUGAGAAUAUAAGAAUCCAAUUAGUAAGGUGAUUGGUGAGUUACAUUUCUGAUUUACUUAACCAUCAAUGUUUCUGUAUUGAUUUCAUUAUUAUGUGAUUUUCAGUUAAAGACUAAUUUUGUUUUCCUAUCAUGUUCACUUAGAGGUGUUAUGCUAGAGUUGGAAGGCCUAAAUUGGAGAAGUAAACACUUCAUUAAUGUUCUACAACUAUUAUUAUAAUAUUUGAUAUAUAUUUUUCUACGUCUUUUUAGAUUUAUUUACCUUACUCAUACAACGGUUAAGGUCUUACAAAUUUUGAGGACGGAUUUUAUUUUAAGGAGGGUAGAUUGUAAUACCCCGUCGUUAAAAAAAAAAAAAGGUUAUUUAUAUGUGUGUGUAUGGGCGAAGUUAUUUUUAUGUAAUGAUUGUUAUAAAAUUAUUUCAAAAACUAGCUAGUAUUAUUUCAUGUCCAUAUGUAACUAGAGAUAUUUUUAGUUUGAAUUGGAGAAGUGUGAUUGUAUGGGAUUGGCUUGAUAUUUUUACCAAAUAAGAGUGAGUUGGCAAGUUUUUAAUCAUUAGGAAUUUAGGAGUUAAUGAUUGGUGAUGAUUCCCAACCAAUCCCCCCGGAACAAAAAUUGGAGAGGUGGGAUUCAUAUCCCUUAGAGUUUGGACGUGAGUAUCUGUCCACAUGCAUGGUAAUGAUUAUAACAUGAUUAGAUACUAUUGCUUCCAAUUACAAGAUGUCCAGGUGUAGCAAAGGAUUUAUAUGUCAUUGAAGGUUUAAUUGUGGAUUCCAUUUCUUCAUCCAUAAAAGUAGAGGGAGGAGAGAAACGGGGGGAAACAACACCACACCAGCAACAACAACAUAGCCAGCAAGAAGAAGAGCCAUUCACCCCUUUAAGAUUACUUUCUACCUUUCUUGACAUGUUGUUAAGGUCCUUAAGCCAAAAUCAUGUAUUGUAAAUCCUCCAUAUAUAGUGAAAUUGAAAUACAAACACCAUCUCAGUGGACGUAGCCGAAUUGGUGAACCACUUAAAUCUUGUGUUUAUGCAUUCAUAUUUUGAGAUCGUUGCCAUGCAAAGCACUCCUACUUAACGAUCAAAGUUUCAUCAGUAUACCCAAAGCCAAAUCAAAAUGAAGUAAUGAUACGAAAUCCCAUUGGAAACAACUAGAGUUUUAUACCCCAAAUGAUCAAGGCAUCCAACGUAGUCUGUCUCGAUCACCUCACUGGUCUCGAAAACACCACCACCAAGCAACAACAACAAUUGCUACGCUUGGCCAGUCACACUCACCGAUGGGAGCCAUGGCGAACGACGACAAUGUUGGGGUUAAGACUUGUGCAACCGAGCUAGCUAUAUUCCAACAGAAUUGCUUUAUGAAACCCAAAUGGGGUUAUGGAUCAAUAUCACCUAGAGAGAUGAAGAAAAAUGGUAAAGUAAUAUUUCUCAAUUAUAUUGUUGUGUGUUAUCAAUACUUUGUUAUUGAUAAUAUAAUAUAAUUUGGGCUACUAGCUAUUUUGAUUAGUAUUGCAGAUUCUAUAUAGAGCAUGUAGUUAUUGAUACAUGAUAUAUACAUGAGCAUUCAUGCAAAGUAAGAAAAAGAGUUGUGUUGUGUCAAGUGCUCACUUGUGUAAAGUAUUUGAGUUGUGAGGAUAUUCAAGGGCUGUAGUUUGCCUUGAAUAUAAAAUAAUGAAUCUUGUAUAUGUCAAGCGUUGGGGGAAGGGCUUGGAUAUGCAAUUGGACGUCCAGGGAAGUACCUAUAUAAAUAAAAUGGAAAUUGAGAAUUUAAUUCUGAAAAUUGGGUUUAAGGGAUGGACGGGAGUUAACUCAUAUUUUAAGGUAUUCGGAGCCAAGUGGUAUAAGCAUGGUAUGGAACGUGCAGGCUUGGAUGCCUUAGUUAUGUGUUAGCGGGAUUAGAAGGGAGUGAGUACAUUUAUCCAUCUCAUUUGCAUGUACUUUCAUUUGAAAGAAUUAUUACAUUCUAACUAUUAUUUAAUUGGUAGUUUUGUUGUGAAUUAAUUUGUGCACUAUUGUUAUUCCGUUGCGUAUUCAAAAAAUUUUAUGUAAGAUUUUGUUAUAUGAUGUAUGGUGUAAUCGUUACAAAUUAUUUUAUUUUCCACCAUAUCUUGGUUGUAGAAUUUAUUUCUAUAGUUAAGAUAUGGCUCACACCCUAGCUUGUGAAUGGUCCUUAUUUGUGGGUCAGGGCAUGACACUUCUCCUCCUUUAAUCAUGCUUAAGAUUAGCAUAGUAAGAUAAACUUAUAUAGGUGGAGUUUCUAGGAAAAGAGCAAUGCAUAAAGAACAUCAAGAACUAUUUAAAAGAAAAUAAAAUUGGAAGACAGCUCCACCAAGAGCUAAAAAAAAAAACAUAAUUUAUUUAAACAAAAAAUCCAUAGCAAGUUAGAAU
rnacentral:lncRNA from 1 species